rnacentral:rRNA from 1 species
UACGAAGGGGGCUAGCGUUGCUCGGAAUCACUGGGCGUAAAGCGCACGUAGGCGGACUCUUAAGUCGGUGGUGAAAUCCUGGAGCUCAACUCCAGAACUGCCUUUGAUACUGAAGAUCUUGAGUUCGGGAGAGGUGAGUGGAACUGCGAGUGUAGAGGUGAAAUUCGUAGAUAUUCGCAAGAACACCAGUGGCGAAGGCGGCUCACUGGCCCGAUACUGACGCUGAGGCACUAAAGCGUGGGGAGCAAACAGG